UCCCCGUUAUCCUGGGCAGUCCCUCCAGAGUUCCCGGCAUAACCCGUUGGCAACUGGAGGCAAGGGUUGCGCUCGUUGCGGGACUUAACCCAACACCUCACGGCACGAGCUGACGACAGCCAUGCAGCACCUGCACUAGCUCCCCUUUCGAGGUCAUUGCCGUUUCCGGUUCAUGUCAAGCCUUGGUAAGGUUCUUCGCGUUGCAUCGAAUUAAUCCGCAUGCUCCGCCGCUUGUGCGGGCCCCCGUCAAUUCCUUUGAGUUUCAGCCUUGCGGCCGUACUCCCCAGGCGGGGCACUUAAUGCGUUAGCUGCGACACCGAACCCGUCUAUAGGCCCGGCAUCUAGUGCCCAUCGUUUACGGCGUGGACUAC
rnacentral:misc_RNA from 1 species